AACAGAAUCUUCAUCAUCACACAAACCAAAAGAACAACAAUGACUUUCAUCAUCAUCUUCAUCUGGACACUCACAGUCUUUACUCAAGUGUGUAGAGGACAGUACACUCUUACUCAGAGUCCAUCAAUAACAGUUCAACCAGGACAACAAGUUCAAAUAAACUGUAAAGUCAGCAGUGCAGUGUAUAAUGGUUAUUAUGGUGAUGAGUUACACUGGUACUUACAGAAACCUGGAGAAGCCCCUAAACUCCUCAUAUAUGCUGCAACAAGACUUCAGUCAGGAACUCCAUCAAGAUUCAGUGGCAGCGGAUCAAGAACAGAUUUCACUUUGACCAUCAGUGGAGUUCAGACUGAAGAUUCAGGAGAUUAUUACUGUCAAAGUGCUCACAAUGGUGAUUGGGUAUGGAAAUUUCAGAGUGGAAAAAGUCUUGACCUGGGGAGCAACAGUCGUCCUAAAGUGAGCGUCCUGCCGCCGUCCAGUGAAGAGAUUUCCACAAAGCAAGCAGCAACACUGAUGUGUGUGGCCAACAAGGGCUUCCCCUCAGACUGGAGUCUGAACUGGAAGGUGGACGGGAUCAGCAGCAGGUCUCAGUACAGCAGUGUUGCUCUCCUGGAGAAGGACGGUCUGUACAGCUGGAGCAGCAGUCUGACUCUCUCUGAGCAGGAGUGGAGCUCAGUGAUCUCAGUCAGCUGUGAGCUCACACAGAAAGACCAGCGUGAUAAAGUCACUGGAGAAUUGAGGAGAGAUCAGUGUUCACAGUAGAUCCACUCACUCUCUCCUCUGUCUCACAUCAAGACUAACAGACUAACUG